GACGAACGCUGGCGGCGUGCUUAACACAUGCAAGUCGAGCGGAAAGGCCUCUUCGGGGGUACUCGAGCGGCGAACGGGUGAGUAACACGUGAGUAAUCUGCCCUUCACUCUGGGAUAGCCACCGGAAACGGUGAUUAAUACCGGAUACGACACGUCCAGGCAUCUGGUGCGUGUGGAAACUCUUUGGGUGGGGGAUGUGCUCGCGGCCUAUCAGCUUGUUGGUGGGGUAAUGGCCUACCAAGGCUUCGACGGGUAGCCGGCCUGCGAGGGUGACCGGCCACACUGGGACUGAGACACGGCCCAGACUCCUACGGGAGGCAGCAGUGGGGAAUAUUGGACAAUGGGCGGAAGCCUGAUCCAGCAACGCCGCGUGAGGGAUGACGGCCUUCGGGUUGUAAACCUCUUUCAGCACCGACGAAGCGAUCCUUUGGGGAGUGACGGUAGGUGCAGAAGAAGGACCGGCCAACUACGUGCCAGCCGCCGCCGUAACAC
rnacentral:rRNA from 1 species